GCUGACCAAAGAGCCUGAGGAAACACACAGUGAGAAAGGAAUCCUCUCUAAAGCAAAAGACAGAAUCCAAGGAGUAGAAAGUCCAUACAGUGGUCACUUUGACAUCAUCCAAGAUGGCAAAGUAAUCCCUGUGCGCUCAGAGAACCAGAACUGCCUGUACCAUGCCCUAGCACAGGCAAUAUCUAACAGGUCAGAGGAUGAGAUCAAGAGUCAAGCUGUGAAUCUACGAAACAAUGUUAAAGACCAGAUCAAAGGGAACCUUCAUGCUCAUAGUGAAAUGGUAAAAAC